rnacentral:rRNA from 1 species
CAAGACAAUGAUGCAUAGCCGAGUUGAGAGACUGAUCGGCCACAUUGGGACUGAGACACGGCCCAAACUCCUACGGGAGGCUGCAGUAGGGAAUCUUCCACAAUGGGCGAAAGCCUGAUGGAGCAACGCCGCGUGUGUGAUGAAGGCUUUCGGGUCGUAAAGCACUGUUGUAUGGGAAGAAAAGUUAAGGUAGGGAAUGACCUUAGCCUGACGGUACCAUACCAGAAAGGGACGGCUAAAUACGUGCCAGCAGCCGCGGUAAUACGUAUGUCCCGAGCGUUAUCCGGAUUUAUUGGGCGUAAAGCGAGCGCAGACGGUUGGUUAAGUCUGAUGUGAAAGCCCGGAGCUCAACUCCGGAAAGGCAUUGGAAACUGGUUAACUUGAGUGCAGUAGAGGUAAGUGGAACUCCAUGUGUAGCGGUGGAAUGCGUAGAUAUAUGGAAGAACACCAGCGGCGAAGGCGGCUUACUGGACUGUAACUGACGUUGAGGCUCGAAAGUGUGGGUAGCAAACAGGAUUAGAUACCCUGGUAGUCCACACCGUAAACGAUGAACACUAGGUGUUAGGAGGUUUCCGCCUCUUAGUGCCGAAGCUAACGCAUUAAGUGUUCCGCCUGGGGAGUACGACCGCAAGGUUGAAACUCAAAGGAAUUGACGGGGACCCGCACAAGCGGUGGAGCAUGUGGUUUAAUUCGAAGCAACGCGAAGAACCUUACCAGGUCUUGACAUCCUUUGAAGCUUUUAGAAAUAGAAGUGUUCUCUUCGGAGACAAAGUGACAGGUGGUGCAUGGUCGUCGUCAGCUCGUGUCGUGAGAUGUUGGGUUAAGUCCCGCAACGAGCGCAACCCUUAUUGUUAGUUGCCAGCAUUCAGAUGGGCACUCUAGCGAGACUGCCGGUGACAAACCGGAGGAAGGCGGGGACGACGUCAGAUCAUCAUGCCCCUUAUGACCUGGGCUACACACGUGCUACAAUGGCGUAUACAACGAGUUGCCAACCUGCGAAGGUGAGCUAAUCUCUUAAAGUACGUCUCAGUUCGGACUGCAGUCUGCAACUCGACUGCACGAAGUCGGAAUCGCUAGUAAUCGCGGAUCAGCACGCCGCGGUGAAUACGUUCCCGGGUCUUGUACACACCGCCCGUCACACCAUGGAAGUUUGUAAUGCCCAAAGCCGGUGGCCUAACCGUAAGGAGGGAACCGUCUAAGGCAG